rnacentral:rRNA from 1 species
CGGGAUCCUUCGGGAUUUAGUGGCGGACGGGUGAGUAACGCGUGAGAAUCUGCCCUUAGGUUGGGGACAACAGUUGGAAACGACUGCUAAUACCCAAUGUGCCGAGAGGUGAAAGGUUAACUGCCUGGGGAUGAGCUCGCGUCUGAUUAGCUAGUUGGAGUGGUAACGGCACACCAAGGCGACGAUCAGUAGCUGGUCUGAGAGGAUGAUCAGCCACACUGGGACUGAGACACGGCCCAGACUCCUACGGGAGGCAGCAGUGGGGAAUUUUCCGCAAUGGGCGAAAGCCUGACGGAGCAAGACCGCGUGAGGGAGGAAGGCCUAUUGGUUGUAAACCUCUUUUGAUAGGGAAGAACACAAUGACGGUACCUAUCGAAUCAGCAUCGGCUAACUCCGUGCCAGCAGCCGCGGUAAUACGGAGGAUGCAAGCGUUAUCCGGAUUUAUUGGGCGUAAAGCGUCCGUAGGUGGCAAACCAAGUCAGUUGUUAAAGCGUAGAGCUUAACUCUAUAAGGGCAAUUGAAACUGGUUAGCUAGAGUGCGAUAGGGGCAAGGGGAAUUCCCAGUGUAGCGGUGAAAUGCGUAGAUAUUGGGAAGAACAUCGGUGGCGAAGGCGCCUUGCUGGGUCUGCACUGACACUGAGGGACGAAAGCUANGGGAGCGAAAGGGAUUAGAUACCCCUGUAGUCCUAGCCGUAAACGAUGGAUACUAGGUGUUGCUCGUUAUCGACCCGAGCCGUGCCGA